rnacentral:rRNA from 1 species
GGUGAAGCAGGAGCUUGCUCUUGUGGAUCAGUGGCGAACGGGUGAGUAACACGUGAGCAACCUGCCCCUGACUCUGGGAUAAGCGCUGGAAACGGCGUCUAAUACUGGAUAUGUGACGUGACCGCAUGGUCUGCGUUUGGAAAGAUUUUUCGGUUGGGGAUGGGCUCGCGGCCUAUCAGCUUGUUGGUGAGGUAAUGGCUCACCAAGGCGUCGACGGGUAGCCGGCCUGAGAGGGUGACCGGCCACACUGGGACUGAGACACGGCCCAGACUCCUACGGGAGGCAGCAGUGGGGAAUAUUGCACAAUGGGCGAAAGCCUGAUGCAGCAACGCCGCGUGAGGGAUGACGGCCUUCGGGUUGUAAACCUCUUUUAGCAGGGAAGAAGCGAAAGUGACGGUACCUGCAGAAAAAGCGCCGGCUAACUACGUGCCAGCAGCCGCGGUAAUACGUAGGGCGCAAGCGUUAUCCGGAAUUAUUGGGCGUAAAGAGCUCGUAGGCGGUUUGUCGCGUCUGCUGUGAAAUCCCGAGGCUCAACCUCGGGCCUGCAGUGGGUACGGGCAGACUAGAGUGCGGUAGGGGAGAUUGGAAUUCCUGGUGUAGCGGUGGAAUGCGCAGAUAUCAGGAGGAACACCGAUGGCGAAGGCAGAUCUCUGGGCCGUAACUGACGCUGAGGAGCGAAAGGGUGGGGAGCAAACAGGCUUAGAUACCCUGGUAGUCCACCCCGUAAACGUUGGGAACUAGUUGUGGGGUCCAUUCCACGGAUUCCGUGACGCAGCUAACGCAUUAAGUUCCCCGCCUGGGGAGUACGGCCGCAAGGCUAAAACUCAAAGGAAUUGACGGGGACCCGCACAAGCGGCGGAGCAUGCGGAUUAAUUCGAUGCAACGCGAAGAACCUUACCAAGGCUUGACAUAUACGAGAACGGGCCAGAAAUGGUCAACUCUUUGGACACUCGUAAACAGGUGGUGCAUGGUUGUCGUCAGCUCGUGUCGUGAGAUGUUGGGUUAAGUCCCGCAACGAGCGCAACCCUCGUUCUAUGUUGCCAGCACGUAAUGGUGGGAACUCAUGGGAUACUGCCGGGGUCAACUCGGAGGAAGGUGGGGAUGACGUCAAAUCAUCAUGCCCCUUAUGUCUUGGGCUUCACGCAUGCUACAAUGGCCGGUACAAAGGGCUGCAAUACCGUGAGGUGGAGCGAAUCCCAAAAAGCCGGUCCCAGUUCGGAUUGAGGUCUGCAACUCGACCUCAUGAAGUCGGAGUCGCUAGUAAUCGCAG